UACGUAGGGGGCGAGCGUUGUCCGGAUUUAUUGGGCGUAAAGAGCGUGUAGGCGGCCAGGUAGGUCUGCUGUGAAAACUCGAGGCUCAACCUCGAGACGUCGGCGGAAACCAUCUGGCUAGAGUCCGGAAGAGGCGAGUGGAAUUCCUGGUGUAGCGGUGAAAUGCGCAGAUAUCAGGAGGAACACCAAUUGCGAAGGCAGCUCGCUGGGACGUGACUGACGCUGAGACGCGAAAGCGUGGGGAGCAAACAGG
rnacentral:rRNA from 1 species